CGUUCCCGGGUCUUGUACACACCGCCCGUCACACCAUGGGAGUGGGUUCUACCUUAAGCCGUUUUGCCAACCGCAAGGAGGCGAACGACCACGGUAGGGUUCAUGACUGGGGUG
rnacentral:rRNA from 1 species